GAUGAACGCGGCGGCGUGCCUAUAUAUGCAAGUCGAGCGAACGGACGAGAAGCUUGCUUCUCUGAUGUUAGCGGCGGACGGGUGAGUAACACGUGGAUAACCUACCUAUAAGACUGGGAUAACUUCGGGAAACCGUAGCUAAUACCGGAUAAUAUUUUGAACCGCAUGGUUCAAAAGUGAAAGACGGUCUUGCUGUCACUUAUAGAUGGAUCCGCGCUGCAUUAGCUAGUUGGUAAGGUAACGGCUUACCAAGGCAACGAUGCAUAGCCGACCUGAGAGGGUGAUCGGCCACACUGGAACUGAGACACGGUCCAGACUCCUACGGGAGGCAGCAGUAGGGAAUCUUCCGCAAUGGGCGAAAGCCUGACGGAGCAACGCCGCGUGAGUGAUGAAGGUCUUCGGAUCGUAAAACUCUGUUAUUAGGGAAGAACAUAUGUGUAAGUAACUGUGCACAUCUUGACGGUACCUAAUCAGAAAGCCACGGCUAACUACGUGUCAGCAGCCGCGGUAAUACGUAGGUGGCAAGCGUUAUCCGGAAUUAUUGGGCGUGAAGCGCGCGUAGGCGGUUUUUUAAGUCUGAUGUGAAAGCCCACGGCUCAACCGUGGAGGGUCAUUGGAAACUGGAAAACUUGAGUGCAGAAGAGGAAAGUGGAAUUCCAUGUGUAGCGGUGAAAUGCGCAGAGAUAUGGAGGAACACCAGUGGCGAAGGCGACUUUCUGGUCUGUAACUGACGCUGAUGUGCGAAAGCGUGGGGAUCAAACAGG
rnacentral:rRNA from 1 species